rnacentral:lncRNA from 1 species
GUAUAAAACUGACAUUAAACAUCAUUCAUCAUAUUCUGAUUGAAAUGUUAUGUGAUUGCAUAUCACAUCAAUACAAGUUGAUUUCUUGUGUACCAUUAAGUCGAAAGCCUGUAAUGCUUGUGUGAAGAGGUGCUUGUUAUGUUGGAAGCCAUCUGGCAGAGGCUGAGCUGUCUCAUCUCUCCUUCCCUCUCUACUCCUCCGCUCUCCCUCCCCCACCUCCUCUUCAUUUUCUAUCUUUCACCUCCCCCACUCCUAUCUCCGCUCUCCAUCACGACCUCUCUCCUCCCUCCCUCCUUCUCCCUCUGCUCUUCAUCCUGCCCUCUCCUUCUCCCUGCCCCCACCUCCUCCAAUUCUCUAUUCGCUUUCCUCUCCCCUUUUCACUCCCACCCCCUCUGCUCUCCUUUACGCUUCCUCUCUCCUUCUCCCUACUCUGCCUCCUCUCCUUCAUGCUCUCCCUUCCCCCAACUCCUCCACUGUCACUGCUCCCCUCUCACCCCCUCUCGUCCAUGCUCUCUCCUGCGCCAUGCCAUCCCUCCUGCUCUCCUUCAACAUGCUUUCUCCCUUCCCCCAAUUUCUCCACUUCUGUCACCGCUCCCCUCCAUCCUUCAUGCCCCCCUCGCCUCUCUCCCGCUCCCUGCCAUCCCUCCUCCUCUCCCUGCUUUCCUUCCUCUCCUUCAUAAUGCUCUCUCCCUUCCCCCUCUAUUUAUAUCACCGCUCUGUCCCUCCCACUCUUUCCUUAAUGCUCCCUCCUCACCCCAUCCGCUCCCUUUCCUCUCUCCCUUCCUCCUCAGGAGGAAAGCAGACGCUGGGCCUUGCCUUUGGAGGCGCGGGGGAGGAAGGAGGAGGAGCAGCCAGGGUAGUAACGGGGGGAGGGUGGAAGGAGGCACGCGAGCUGUACCUCAUUCAGUUCCCCGGGGAGGAAGGAGAACUAGAGGAGGAGGGGGGCUGUGUUUCGGGAGAGGGGGAGGAGACGGACAACAUCAAAGAGGAGUCCAGUGACAUGGUGGAGGGGGGCUACCAGCCUGCGUCUCUGCGGCUGAUCAAGGAAGCCCUGAAGAUGGACCCGCCCAACCAGAACCGCCAUACUGGAUCCAGAACCCACAGCGAAGGUACUGACACCAGCUCGGAACCAAAAACAUGAUUACAAC